UUUCAAACCAAGAAAAACAGUAAGCCUCAAGUUCUCUGGUUAUUCUGGGAAAUAUAAAUUCUACAAAGAAUGGAUCUUCGAAUUUAGGUUUUGGUUCGACUUCCAGAGGAAAUAGCAGUUCAAGAAGCGGCUUAAAUUCAUCGUCGCGAAGCUUUCUUCUACAGAGGUGAAAUUGUAGGUUAUCAAUUGGUAUGAGGUGAAGCUUGAGUUUAUGGCAAGAUACAUGUAUCAAAAAUAUAUGAGGGAGAAAAUUCUGAGGUACAGAGGAGGCAAAGUCCAUCAUGAUUCAUCUAACAAGUCCCUAAAUUGGCAAAGGGGGAACAGGAGGCUUACUGAAGAAACAAGUGAAAUCUGAAUUAUGUCUUUGUGUGUUAGUCCUCAAAGCAUUUGGAUGGAAAUUAUUCUGGUGUUGAUUUAAUUGUUCUAGCUGCUAACUUUGCCGGCUGCAGUACUUUUACUAACAGAGUACUGUGAGAGUGUCUCAAGUGAGACUGAGAAUGUUGGUCUUCCUAUGAUCUUGUUACAUGGCUUUGGAGCCUCAGUUUUCUCUUGGAAUUGAGUUAUGAAGCUGUUCGCUAAGGUCAUUGGUUCCAAAGUUCUGGCAUUUUAUAGAUCGAGGUUUGGGUUGACACUUAUAUUCAAACUCUGUCAGACAUUUAUCUUCUGGAAAUGAGGAAUCGAAAUCUGUGAAUCCGUACUCCAUGGCAUUUUCAAUGCUUGUUACCUUGUUUUUCAUUGAUUUUCUAGCAGCUAAGAAGGCCAUUG